GUGCUUGCUUCGGCAGCACAUAUACUAAAAUUGGAACGAUAGAGAAGAUUAGCAUGGCCCCUGUGCAAGAAUGAUACGCAAAUUCGUGAAGUGUUCCAUAUUAAA
rnacentral:snRNA from 1 species